rnacentral:rRNA from 1 species
CGAACGCUGGCGGCGUGCCUACUACAUGCACGUAGAACGCUGAAGGAGGAGCUUGCUCUUCUGGAUGAGUUGCGAACGGGUGAGUAACGCGUAGGUAACCUGCCUGGUAGCGGGGGAUAACUAUUGGAAACGAUAGCUAAUACCGCAUAACAGUAGAUGUUGCAUGACAUUUACUUAAAAGGUGCAAUUGCAUCACUACCAGAUGGACCUGCGUUGUAUUAGCUAGUUGGUGGGGUAACGGCUCACCAAGGCGACGAUACAUAGCCGACCUGAGAGGGUGAUCGGCCACACUGGGACUGAGACACGGCCCAGACUCCUACGGGAGGCAGCAGUAGGGAAUCUUCGGCAAUGGACGGAAGUCUGACCGAGCAACGCCGCGUGAGUGAAGAAGGUUUUCGGAUCGUAAAGCUCUGUUGUAAGAGAAGAACGAGUGUGAGAGUGGAAAGUUCACACUGUGACGGUAUCUUACCAGAAAGGGACGGCUAACUACGUG